rnacentral:lncRNA from 1 species
GACUGGUUCCCUGCCAGGACAGCGCCUGGACAUGUAAGCCUGCCAGUACUCACACAAUCCAAAAUGCUAUGCUUUCCUCAAGUGGGAGAAAUGCCAAAUGCCUGAAGUUUGACAGCUGGUCAGAGUGGGUGUGCAGCCUCUGAACAAGACUCUACCACUACAGAAGGAGACAGUUUCCAGAAAUUGCUUCUACAACAUCAGUGGCUGUUUCCAAAGGGAAAGGUGUGCUGGUACAAGGAACCUAGAGCAUCUGCUCAGCAAGUGGUGGAGCAAGUGUUAACAGUCACCUGCAGUGAGACCUCAGCUGCACCCACUGAUUGCUGAGAUUUUUCAGCCCGGCAGCCUCAGAGACUUGGGAAUUGUUUUCCUGCUCUAAGGAGGAACUCUUCAGGGAGAAACUUAGCCAUCGAAGCAUUCUUCCUAGAAAGAUCAUUGCAAGCUAGAACUGUGUGUGUGCAUCCUAUCAGCUGUGAGCAGCCAUGUACAGCAGGUAAAGGAAAGGUGUACAGUGCCAGCCAGGACUCAACUCCAGAGAAGCAGAACGCAAGGUAUCAAAAACAUACAGCAAUACUUUUCACACAGCACACCCUCAGAAAGUGGUUGGUGCAAGAUAUUAAGGAAAAGUGGCUUACUAAUGUACAGUCUUUGUGUUUUCACUAGGCUAGCUGAUCCCAAUGGGAAAGAUGGAAUUGCUGUGUUUGAAAGCAGAGUCUGCUUUUCCCCAAGGAGUAUGUGAAGGGAAUGGUCAGGUGUUGAAAAUCAGCUGUACUACAAAGCUCUAGCCAAGAAGGUCAAGUGUUCUCUGCCACCUUCCCAGUAGGCAUUUGUAAUGGAUAUAUGCUGAUUGCUAGAUCACUGGCUUAAAAAUAAGAAGGAAGGGUUUUCUUAGAGUAUUUGUUGGAGAGAGGUGUGUGGUUUUGACUUACAAUGAAGUUUUGUGAAUUUGGA